rnacentral:misc_RNA from 1 species
AACUUUCGACAAUGGAUCACUUGGCUCUCGCAUCGAUGAAGAACGCAGCGAAAUGCGACAAGUAAUGUGAAUUGCAGAAUUCAGUGAAUCGUCGAAUCUUUGAACGCACCUUGCGCCACGUGGUAUUCCACGAGGCACGCCUGUUUGAGUGUCACGUUAACCAUCGUGUCGUGGAGUGACCUUUUGGCUUUUCCUGGCCUCUAAUCGGCUGGGGGGAACUGAUCAGUAUGUCUGCGAGGCGGAUUUGGAGGCUUGCCGUGAGAACGGCUCCUCUCGAAAAUGCAUUAGCUGUCUAAAGACCGUGCCGCUGGUGUGAUAAUUUACUUUGCGCCUAUGGAACGGACUGGUGGUGGCUCAUAAACCGCCUGCAAGGGCAACAAACUUAAGCUUUGACCUCAAAUCAGGUGGGACUACCCGCUGAACUUAAGCAUAUCAAUAAGCGGAGGCU